UACGUAGGUGGCAAGCGUUGUCCGGAAUUACUGGGCGUAAAGCGUGCGUAGACGGUUGCGUAAGUCAGAUGUGAAAGCCCCGGGCUCAACCUGGGAAUUGCAUUUGAGACUGCGUAGCUAGGGUGCGGAAGAGGGAAGCGGAAUUUCCGGUGUAGCGGUGAAAUGCGUAGAUAUCGGAAGGAACACCAGUGGCGAAAGCGGCUUCCUGGUCCAGCACCGACGUUCAGGCACGAAAGCGUGGGGAGCAAACAGG
rnacentral:rRNA from 1 species